AUUGAACGCUGGCGACAUGCCUUACACAUGCAAGUCGAACGGCAGCACGGGUGCUUGCACCUGGUGGCGAGUGGCGAACGGGUGAGUAAUACCUCGGAACAUGUCCUGUAGUGGGGGAUAGCCCGGCGAAAGCCGGAUUAAUACCGCAUACGAUCUACGGAUGAAAGCGGGGGACCUUCGGGCCUCGCGCUAUAGGGUUGGCCGAUGGCUGAUUAGCUAGUUGGUGGGGUAAAGGCCUACCAAGGCGACGAUCAGUAGCUGGUCUGAGAGGACGACCAGUCACACUGGGACUGAGACACGGCCCAGACUCCUACGGGAGGCAGCAGUGGGGAAUUUUGGACAAUGGGCGAAAGCCUGAUCCAGCAAUGCCGCGUGUGUGAAGAAGGCCUUCGGGUUGUAAAGCACUUUUGUCCGGAAAGAAAUCCUUGGCCCUAAUACGGUCGGGGGAUGACGGUACCGGAAGAAUAAGCACCGGCUAACUACGUG
rnacentral:rRNA from 1 species